UGGGGAAUAUUGGACAAUGGGCGCAAGCCUGAUCCAGCAAUACCGCGUGUGUGAAGAAGGCCUGAGGGUUGUAAAGCACUUUCACUGGGGAGGAAAACGUUAAGGUUAAUACCCUUAUAAUUGACAUUACCCAGAGAAGAAGCACCGGCUAACUCCGUGCCAGCAGCCGCGGUAAUACGGAGGGUGCGAGCGUUAAUCGGAAUUACUGGGCGUAAAGCGUGCGUAGGUGGUGCGUUAAGUUAGAUGUGAAAGCCCUGGGCUUAACCUGGGAAUGGCAUUUAAAACUGGCGUGCUAGAGUUAGGUAGAGGGGAGUGGAAUUUCAGGUGUAGCGGUGAAAUGCGUAGAGAUCUGAAGGAACACCAGUGGCGAAGGCGGCUCCCUGGACCCAAACUGACGCUG
rnacentral:rRNA from 1 species